GCACAUAUGUUCUCUCAUAUAGGUUCAACUAGGGCACCUAUCUUAAACUUCAUAUCGUUCUCGCUUGUUAUAUUCCUAGGGUUCCUUGAAUCCUAAGGAUAUAACUAUAGCUCUGAUACCAAAUCUGUGACGCCCCCAGAUCCACAUCCCGCAGAUCUGGCCCGCCACUAAACAUAUGGCUCAAAACAACACUUGCAUUACAUAUUAAUAUUACAUGAUCCAACUCUUUGCCCCACAAGUUCAGGGUCGCUCGUCUUAACAACAUUACUACUAAGUCUAAUUUUAUUACAUAAAGGGAAGUCUGAUUUCAGACCAUUAUAAUAACUAUAGCUCGUACUAACAAGCGGCGUAGUCUAGCAGUCUCAGCUUGGGUGAUGCGCCUUUUCCCUGCCUUUGCCAAAAACCCAUUUCCGGGCGGUUCUCUUGAGUUGUGCCAUACUCACUAUUUACUGCUCAAAAGGAAUAAAAUAGAUGCAAGAAUGAGCAAUCGAAUUGCUCAGCAAGUCCACAUAGAACAAAACAACAAUCAACAGAAUAUGCACGUAAGGCACAUAAAAUAAUUCAGUCAAAGCAAUAAAGCAGCUACCGUCAAAUGACAACACAAGUUCAAGGAAAGAAAACGCUGGUCUUCCACCCCUCGGUAACACUACAUGGCUCGAUCAGCACCAUUUCGUGAAUACCGUUCUCCUGUGUCAUCUUUGCAGUUUGAUCGUAACCGCACAAGACACACCUGCCACUCUCAUUUGCUAGCAUAAGGGUUAACAUUUGUAACCCUAAACUAUCUGCCUUACCAGAUAGUAAAAUUUAACUCUACCACGAAUUUAAUAAAUUCGUGUUGACCAGCUUGAACAGAUUCCUCCGAAUACAAGAAAAUUUUCCCAAACAACUAUUCAUCUCUAGCAAAGAAGUGCGAACAAUGCACCCUUUCAACAAAGAUUAUCCGAAGGUAGAAGUGAAGGAUAAUUAAAAGAAUUAAAUUCCAAAGAAUAAGAUGAUCUCCAAAAAGGGAGUAAGUUAAUUGUGGUGAGAUCAUCGCUGCAAUGUAUUCACUUCAAGUUUCGAAGAUUCCGAAUAUUAUCGUUAUUAGGAUCAGCUCAUUCCCGUAUAAUGGAAGUGCUCGAAUUAGAAGUAAUGUAUGAACAAUAUUUUUAGAGUCUUCGAAUGAAACGUAGAUAUCUUCUCGAUUCACAAUAGUACGAAAUGUAAUAUCUUCACAAUCAACAUUUUUCAUACAAUUAUCAAAUAGGCAUGAAAACUUUCACGUCAAGAAAGAGAUAGCGAACUUGCCUGGCGUUCUUAGCUUAAAAAGGAAAUCCUGAAUCAGAUUGAUUAAUCAGGCUUCGCCUUUUCCGGAUAAAAAUAUUCUACGCCACAAAAUAAUUGAUUUAGUAAUAUUUAUCACAAAAAUAAUGAUCUCAAAAGAUCCACUAUAAAUUAUUUAAUUUAUUCUCGUAUAUAUUAAAUCCCGAAUAGAAUAUGAUUAUCUAAUUCUCUUUCUCUAAAUAUUUUACUCCAUUUGGUGGUUUGUUAAAUUUAAGGAUGUGAGUUUUAUUCCCCACGAAUAGCCAACUCAAUAUUUCUACUUUAUAAUAUCUAACUAAUUUCCCAAGGUCUCAUUUUUCAUUUUUUUUUUAUAAAUUAAAUUCUAACGUAAUCAGUUAUCACUAAGUUCCAUGUUUUAUAAUUACCUCCUUUCCUUUUCACUAAUCCAAACAAUCUAGUUUAUAUAAUACAUUCUCCCAUAUCAAUUAUUCUCAUUUAUCGGUCAAUUAUCGGCCAAACAGAUAAUUACUCAAUACAUGAUCUCACUUUCUUCGUGUUUGUCCAACUAUCAAUUAACAAUGAAUAUUCAUCAUUUGUUCGAUAAACUAAAUCCGAGAUUAUUCUUUGAUUUCCAACUUUUAUUAUACUCUAAAUCUAACUAAAUUCUCUCCGAAAAUUAUUAAUUCACUUAAUAAGCUAACUAAAAUUAUCUCGUAACCCCCAAAUUACUCAUAAAUCUACUUAUUUAUGAUCAUUAUGACUUAUUAAUCAUGUUUCCAAUCUUCAUCCCAAAUUUUUAUUAAAUCUUAUUUUACUUCAUCCCAAACAAAUAUUUCACACCCCUUUAUUAUUAUUAAUCCUUCAAAUUAUGGUUUUACUAAAUUACCCUCGUCUCUCCCAAUCCACCCUUCCUUCUCUCUUCUCUCCUUUCUCCUCCUUCCCAACCAAUUUUCACCAUCGCCGGCCAGAGAAAACUCCGACGGCCUACCACCUCUGCCUCUCCUACUCUCUCUCUCUUGGCAGAACUCUGCCAUGGCCGGAGAGUUCGCCGCCUCCGGCUUUCUCCCUCGCACAACUGCGAUUUCCUUCCCAUCCGAACCCUCUCCCUCUCACUGCUCUUUCUUCUCCGAUUUACCACCGCGAGUCAUCAUCGACGGUGCUCCGGCCUCCCAACGCCGCAAUUACCAAAUCAACAAACCCCCAAUCUUACACUACACAUAUAUUCUGAUUUAGUUACACAAUCCGCCAAACAAAUCAAAAGUUCCCACUUCCCCUCCAAUUAAUUCAAACUCGAUUCACCAGCAAACUCAAGUUAAAGCUCCAACUCAUUUUUCUAAGAACCCUAAUUUAAAAUAUAACUUACAGCUUCUUUACAUAUUUGGGGGAAAAGAGAAGAAAGUUAAAUUAUACUACUACAUACGUGUACCUAACUAAAGACAAGGAAUUAAAGCUCCUGGUGGCGUCAAAUAUUAUAAUUAUUUAAUUAAAUUCUACACCAUUAAUAGCUACUAUUAAACAAGGAAAAAUGGUAAUACCUUUAAAUGAAAUUUUAUCAUCUCCUUUUUGAUUCCAAUACUCACGCUUCUGUGCUUUGUUUUGGUAAGCAAAAUAAUUGAUUCUCUUCCUUGGCUUUUAUACUGCUUUCCUUAAUUAUCAUUAGUGCCUAAUUACCUCUUUAUAUGCUAUUAAUUAAAUCUUUUACUUGGGCUCCAAGUAUAAUACUUGGGCCCCAAGUUUCGAAGUGUGCUGCGCAAGUAACGUCCAGGAAAUAGUUUAAUUGGCUCGUUUAUUUACGAAUAUUCGUAUCCGAUUUUAAUAAAUAUAAUUAUUGAAAAUAUAUAAAUAAUUAAGAAAUUCACCAAAAUAAUUAAAUAACCAAUUAGUAAUUACUAUACUAGUUUCUGACAAAUUCUCAAUUUAUAAAAUAACAAAGAUAAAUUAUCUUGGCUCAAAAUAUAAUAUUUAUUCAUGAGUCAGUAAAUAAAUAAUCAUGUCUACAAUAUAUUUUAAUUUUUCUCAAUAAGCGCAGCUCCUGAUUUAACGUACAUAUUUGAAUAAAAGACUAGCCUGCAAAGUAAUAUUUUCGUUUUCUAAAAUUCUCGUAGCUACCACACUUUAAUAAAUAUUUCUCACCUUGUGAAUAUUAUUAAAUCCAAGACUAAUAAAAUAGUCUUUUUGAUCAAUAAAUAAUUAAAUUAAAUAACCGCGCUUUUACGUACUUGUAAAUUUUACGGUUG
rnacentral:lncRNA from 1 species